UUGACGGGGCCCGCACAAGCGGCGGAGCAUGCGGAUUAAUUCGAUGCAACGCGAAGAACCUUACCAAGGCUUGACAUACACCGGUAACGCCCAGAGAUGGGUGCCCCUUUGUGGUCGGUGGACAGGUGGUGCAUGGGUUGUCGUCAGCUCGUGUCGUGAGAUGUUGGGUUAAGUCCCGCAACGAGCGCAACCCUCGUCCUAUGUUGCCAGCGGGUCAUGCCGGGGACUCAUGGGAGACUGCCGGGGUCAACUCGGAGGAAGGUGGGAUGACGUCAAAUCAUCAUGCCCCUUAUGUCUUGGGCUUCACGCAUGCUACAAUGGCCGGUACAAAGGGCUGCGAUACCGCGAGGUGGAGCGAAUCCCAGAAAGCCGGUCUCAGUUCGGAUUGGGGUCUGCAACUCGACCCCAUGAAGUCGGAGUCGCUAGUAAUCGCAGAUCAGCAACGCUGCGGUGAAUACGUUCCCGGGCCUU
rnacentral:rRNA from 1 species